rnacentral:ribozyme from 12 species
ACAAACAAACAAACAAACAAACAAACAAAGAGGGAUGGAAAGUGGGAAUAGUGGAACUUGUACGUUUUCUGUCCAGAGAUUCAUUUGUUUUUUCGUUGUUUUCGUUGUUUUUCUUCGUCUUUC